rnacentral:rRNA from 1 species
AACCUUAACCUGCUGAAUAGCCAGGCUGGCUAACUGUUGCUGGUCGCCGGCUUCUUAGAGGGACUGUCAGCGUCUAGCUGACGGAAGUUUGAGGCAAUAACAGGUCUGUGAUGCCCUUAGAUGUUCUGGGCCGCACGCGCGCUACACUGACAGAGCCAGCGAGUUAUUUCACCUAGGCCGGAAGGUCCGGGUAAUCUUGUGAAACUCUGUCGUGCUGGGGAUAGAGCAUUGCAAUC